GAUGAACGCUGACAGAAUGCUUAACACAUCAGCAAUUGACUGGUGGCGGACGGGUGAGUAACGCGUAAAGAACUUGCCUUACAGCUAGGGACAACAUUUGGAAACGAAUGCUAAUACCUAAUCCGGUGAUAGAGCUUUGCGUCCCAUUAGCUAGUGGGAGAGGUAACGGCUCACCAAGGCGAGGCUGGGUAGCCGGCCUGAGAGGGUGAUCGGCCACAAGGGGACUGGGACACGGCCCUUAGGCCUACGGGAGGCAGGAGUGUGGAAUAUUGGACAAUGGACCAAAGUCUGAUCCAGCAAUUCUGUGUGCACGAUGAAGUUUUCGGAAUGUAAAGUGCUUUCAGUUGGGAAGCGGUACCAACAGAAGAAGUGACGGCUAAAUACGUGCCAGCCGCCGCGGUAAUAC
rnacentral:rRNA from 1 species